UUAGUCCUCCAGGCAGUAGCGCGCAUGCGCGCCGAAAAGCGGAAGGGGCGUACCUACGUUCUGACCGCUCUGCGCAGCUAAUCCGCCGAUCUCUACUGAUCCCCCUCGCCUAUUUCCUCAGGCGGUUUUACACCCGAGCACGCCCCGGGAACACGGACUGCUUUUGCUGGCACGCGGUGCUGGCCUGGAGUGGCGCCAGGGUCACCCCUAGUGGCACGCGACCGGCUUUCCUAGGAGCUGCUGAACGAGCUCUUCCAACCUGCUCAUCCCAUCCCGGGCAACCGAGCUCCUUCUCGUCACAGUGCCUCAUGGCUCUGGGCACCCCACCAUGCACUGCAGUGACAUGGCUAUAAACAGAGGAAGGCAUAUUGAAUCCAUUUGGAUUACUUACGUGCACACAAGGACCAAAUUCAAUCAGUGCCCAGGAUGUAUCAAGCCAGAAGGCGUUACGGGGAUCACCUGCAGUAUUUCAUAGACCAUGUAAGGGGCUGUUAAAUGAAUUCAGCAACUGGCUUUUUACUCUUCACUAAACAAGUGCUUGAUCCUGCACUACUCUACCAAGCAAGUCUCUGAAAGGGUCAAAGUCUGCUCUCCUGAAGUCCAGGGAAGCGAACUUGCUGUGCCCGCCUCCUCGCUGCCCCAAGGACCUUGAAUGCCAGCACGCCACAGACAGCGCAGCUACUUCUGCCCUCGAGCUUCACGUUCCCCACCAGCCUCUUCUUAUCGGUAGCACAACGCAUGUGUGCAGAAAUGUGGAAGUGGCGUAUCUGAGUUCUGACCACUUUGCGCAGUGAAUCCACCAAUCUUUAUUGUGAUAAGUCCUCCAGGUGGCAAUGCACAUGCGCUCGAAGAUGUACAGAAGGCAUGGAUUUCUCCUAACUCCUCGAGGUGCAGGUGAGCAGACCAGCUGUGGACUGUGAGCUCUCCCCAGUUUUCCCCCAUCUAUUUCACAAUGUCUCUUGUCUACCUCCGUGUUAUGUCCGAGCCUGCACUGAGAACUGGCCUUUUUGGCUCCCAGCUGCCCCUGCGUGCGCUGCAGCAUCCAGUUGGCUAAUCAUGGCCCUGGAUUGACAGGUGCCUGCCCAAAUGCUGCGUGCGCACACUAGUGCUGCCGCACUCGCUGCUGCCAGGUAUUGAAGAGAAUUCCAUACUGCAGGCUCUGCUCCAUGCGUGCAUGGCAGCAGAAAUGGUCUCUCACGGUGUGUGGGUGACAGAACUGUGCACUGGGCCCAUUGGGUGGCAUGGAAGCAGCAGGAACUGCACAGAAGAGACUCGAAAGCAUCCCAAAAAUAAAUUCCACCCAGCUGCCAUGGGGAAAGAAUACCACUUCACUGUGUGCUUCUACCUACCUCCAUGGAAAGUACAUGCGCACAGAAAUGUGGAAGUGGCGUAGCUGAGUUCUGACCACUCUGCACAGUGAAUCUGCCGAUCUUUAUUGUGGUAAGUCCUCCAGGCGGCAAUGUGCAUGCACUUGAAUUCCUUUGUCUAUUUCCACAUUUUUGUGCCUGAACCUGUCCCUGGAAUGGACCAAUUUGGCUCACAGCUGCCCUCGCUCGUGUGGCGGCAUCCAAUUUGUUUGUCAUUACAGCUGAUUGACAGGUGCCCACCCCCAUACCAUGCAUGCACACUAGCUGCGAUACUCGCUGCUGCCGCUUAUUGAAGAGAAUUCUGUGCUGCAGGAGCUGCUCUGCGCACGUGUGGUAGAACAGAUGCUCUCACACGGUGCAUGGAUAGCAGAACCAUGUGAUGGGAACUGCACAGAAAAGACACGGAAGAUACCAGAAAAUGAACCCCAUCUAACUGCCUCGGGAAAAGAACUACGCUUCAUUCUGUGCUUCUACUUACCUGCACGCAGCGCAGUAAUGGAAGACUCCAUUUCCCUCUGAUUUGAAGAAGUGACAUAGGCUGGUUUCUUUAGCAACAGGGAUUAGUAGAAUAGUUUAAGAACCAGUAUAUUAGUUUAGCAAAAGUAACCCAUAAGUGAUAGUUCUGAAACUUUCUAUUUCAGAUUUAGUGGGUGAACAGUCUAGAUUUUCCUCAAUAAUUUUGCACUGGGGACAUAAUAGAAUACUUUUAACUUUUGCCUCAAUGAUUUUACCUCA